GCACAUUCAUGUGUUUGGUAUUGCAGCAUCUUAAGAUGCAUCUUCUCUUGUUUCAGUGGUUGCAGUGCUGUGUGUGGCUUGGAACCACAUGUGGUACCAGGCUGUAAUAAACAGAAGCCUUUGUUUUGCAGAAGCCAUGGAUUAUAUGUUCUUCUUGAGCCAGGGACCUCAAUUAUUUUACUUCAGCCCAUGGGAUCCCACUUCAGUUGCAGCUGUUUGAAUUAACAUGUCUUCUUGCUGCAUCUCCUGGCUGAGGAAAGUGCAAGAAGUGCUGUCAUGGCCAGCAGAACAAACAGAUACCUGAUGUAUUACUUCAUCAGCAAAUUCAACAAGGCCAAGAUGUCUUCAUUUUCCUUCAGAGCAAGAGCUGUAAGAGCAGUGUGGUGGAAGUAUUGGUCUUCUGUGGCCAGCCGGCAAGAACCCAUCAACAGCUGUGAUGAGCAGAGCAGACAUGGGAGACAGGAGGCAGCUGAAGCCAAAGAGGACCCACGCCUGGAGCUGUGUCUGUGUGAUUGGAGCAGAGAGAGGCCAGGACCCAAGGAAAUCCCAGCAGCAAGGGAAAAAAACAGAUUGACUCUCAGUGACUCAUUUAGCUCCUGGAUUGGACAGAUCUCUCCCCUGCUGGCAAUUUGGCUGAGCAUCAAUGGCCAGAUACCAGGAUGA
rnacentral:lncRNA from 13 species